UCGAGGAUCUUCGGCAAUGGGCGAAAGCCUGACCGAGCGACGCCGCGUGUGCGAAGAAGGCCUUCGGGUUGUAAAGCACUGUCGAGGGGGAGGAAAGCCCGCAAGGGUCUGACCUAUCCCUGGAGGAAGCACGGGCUAAGUUCGUGCCAGCAGCCGCGGUAAGACGAACCGUGCGAACGUUGUUCGGAUUCACUGGGCUUAAAGGGCGCGUAGGCGGGCCGUCAAGUCUGUGGUGAAAGCCCCCGGCUUAACCGGGGAAGUGCCGCGGAUACUGGCGGUCUCGAGGGGUGCAGGGGCAUGUGGAACUUCCGGUGGAGCGGUGAAAUGCGUAGAUAUCGGAAGGAACGCCGGUGGCGAAAGCGACGUGCUGGACACCUACUGACGCUGAGGCGCGAAAGCCAGGGGAGCAAACGGGAUUAGAUACCCCCGUAGUCC
rnacentral:rRNA from 1 species